rnacentral:rRNA from 1 species
AGUGAACGCUGGCGGUAGGCCUAACACAUGCAAGUCGAACGGCAGCACAGUAAGAGCUUGCUCUUACGGGUGGCGAGUGGUGGACGGGUGAGGAAUACAUCGGAAUCUACUUUUUCGUGGGGGAUAACGUAGGGAAACUUACGCUAAUACCGCAUACGACCUACGGGUGAAAGCAGGGGAUCUUCGGACCUUGCGCGAUUGAAUGAGCCGAUGUCGGAUUAGCUAGUUGGCGGGGUAAAGGCCCACCAAGGCGACGAUCCGUAGCUGGUCUGAGAGGAUGAUCAGCUACACUGGAACUGAGACACGGUCCAGACUCCUACGGGAGGCAGCAGUGGGGAAUAUUGGACAAUGGGCGCAAGCCUGAUCCAGCCAUACCGCGUGGGUGAAGAAGGCCUUCGGGUUGUAAAGCCCUUUUGUUGGGAAAGAAAAGCAGCAGGUUAAUACCCCGCUGUUCUGACGGUACCCAAAGAAUAAGCACCGGCUAACUUCGUG